GCUGCUGCUGACGUUGCCAAUGUGACCUCUGCUCCUCCCCCUGCCACUGUUCCUGGUCCUGCCGUGCUCCACUGCUGGUGACGAUGACUACGUUGAUGUGACAGGCUCAGGCGGACGUUAUCUGUGGACUGCAAUAAAAGCGGACAAUAAUUAAAAGUGGUAACGACCGUGGACGUGGACGUUGUCGUGGCUGGGAGACAAGGGACAAUUGCAAAUUCAUGUACAUACACAUACAUGAAAUUUUUCAUCACAAUUUUAACCCACUUAUGGGACAAAUUUACCAAAAUUUGAAGAAAAAAAAGCAUUUUGUUAACUUAAUUGCAACUUUCAAUAAAGGCAUUUUAAAAAUUUUAA